rnacentral:lncRNA from 1 species
AUAUAUCUUAAACUAACACUGUUUAGGCUUCUAUCGUUCGAACCUGCAUCCCUUCAGCACAGUACGGCUGCUUUGGAAUUUAUUUUGCUCUUCGGUCUACGCCCGUUGCUUUGGAGGUUGGGAUACCUUUCACCGCAAUAUCGUCAUACUCUAGAAGCCACUUAAUUAAUCCCAAUCAUUAUGGACAUAUGGACUUUGCUGUAAACAAAAACAGAUAUAGUGACAGCCGACAAACCCUCUCUCCUCGUUAGGAUGGGCACCACUCUGGAGGGGUUCCGCAUAAGUCGAAUAAUGGAGAAACAUGGAAUACUUUUUUGUUAUUUUCUUAGAAAUAAUAGUAGCUUGCAUUGGCACAAAACUUUUUCAUGCCUUCGAUACGAUAUGAAGUUGGUCCCCCUUUUAAAACUUUUUUUUAAUAUUAGUUUGCAUCUCAUUAGCAGCUUUUGCACUUUUACU